AGCGCAUACGGUGGAUGCCUUGGCAGUCAGAGGCGAUGAAAGACGUGGUAGCCUGCGAAAAGCUUCGGGGAGUCGGCAAACAGACUUUGAUCCGGAGAUCUCUGAAUGGGGGAACCCACCUAGGAUAACCUAGGUAUCUUGUACUGAAUCCAUAGGUGCAAGAGGCGAACCAGGGGAACUGAAACAUCUAAGUACCCUGAGGAAAAGAAAUCAACCGAGAUUCCCUUAGUAGUGGCGAGCGAACGGGGAUUAGCCCUUAAGCUUCAUUGAUUUUAGCGGAACGCUCUGGAAAGUGCGGCCAUAGUGGGUGAUAGCCCCGUACGCGAAAGGAUCUUUGAAGUGAAAUCGAGUAGGACGGAGCACGAGAAACUUUGUCUGAACAUGGGGGGACCAUCCUCCAAGGCUAAAUACUACUGACUGACCGAUAGUGAACCAGUACCGUGAGGGAAAGGCGAAAAGAACCCCGGAGAGGGGAGUGAAAUAGAACCUGAAACCGUAUGCGUACAAGCAGUGGGAGCCUACUUGUUAGGUGACUGCGUACCUUUUGUAUAAUGGGUCAGCGACUUAUAUUCAGUGGCAAGCUUAACCGUAUAGGGUAGGCGUAGCGAAAGCGAGUCUUAAUAGGGCGUUUAGUCGCUGGGUAUAGACCCGAAACCGGGCGAUCUAUCCAUGAGCAGGUUGAAGGUUAGGUAACACUGACUGGAGGACCGAACCCACUCCCGUUGAAAAGGUAGGGGAUGACUUGUGGAUCGGAGUGAAAGGCUAAUCAAGCUCGGAGAUAGCUGGUUCUCCUCGAAAGCUAUUUAGGUAGCGCCUCAUGUAUCACUCUGGGGGGUAGAGCACUGUUUCGGCUAGGGGGUCAUCCCGACUUACCAAACCGAUGCAAACUCCGAAUACCCAGAAGUGCCGAGCAUGGGAGACACACGGCGGGUGCUAACGUCCGUCGUGAAAAGGGAAACAACCCAGACCGCCAGCUAAGGUCCCAAAGUUGUGGUUAAGUGGUAAACGAUGUGGGAAGGCUUAGACAGCUAGGAGGUUGGCUUAGAAGCAGCCAUCCUUUAAAGAAAGCGUAAUAGCUCACUAGUCGAGUCGGCCUGCGCGGAAGAUGUAACGGGGCUCAAACCACACACCGAAGCUGCGGGUGUCACGUAAGUGACGCGGUAGAGGAGCGUUCUGUAAGCCUGUGAAGGUGAGUUGAGAAGCUUGCUGGAGGUAUCAGAAGUGCGAAUGCUGACAUGAGUAACGACAAUGGGUGUGAAAAACACCCACGCCGAAAGACCAAGGGUUCCUGCGCAACGUUAAUCGACGCAGGGUUAGUCGGUUCCUAAGGCGAGGCUGAAAAGCGUAGUCGAUGGGAAACAGGUUAAUAUUCCUGUACUUCUGGUUACUGCGAUGGAGGGACGGAGAAGGCUAGGCCAGCUUGGCGUUGGUUGUCCAAGUUUAAGGUGGUAGGCUGAAAUCUUAGGUAAAUCCGGGGUUUCAAGGCCGAGAGCUGAUGACGAGUCGUCUUUUAGAUGACGAAGUGGUUGAUGCCAUGCUUCCAAGAAAAGCUUCUAAGCUUCAGGUAACCAGGAACCGUACCCCAAACCGACACAGGUGGUCGGGUAGAGAAUACCAAGGCGCUUGAGAGAACUCGGGUGAAGGAACUAGGCAAAAUGGCACCGUAACUUCGGGAGAAGGUGCGCCGGCUAGGGUGAAGGAUUUACUCCGUAAGCUCUGGCUGGUCGAAGAUACCAGGCCGCUGCGACUGUUUAUUAAAAACACAGCACUCUGCAAACACGAAAGUGGACGUAUAGGGUGUGACGCCUGCCCGGUGCCGGAAGGUUAAUUGAUGGGGUUAGCGCAAGCGAAGCUCUUGAUCGAAGCCCCGGUAAACGGCGGCCGUAACUAUAACGGUCCUAAGGUAGCGAAAUUCCUUGUCGGGUAAGUUCCGACCUGCACGAAUGGCGUAACGAUGGCGGCGCUGUCUCCACCCGAGACUCAGUGAAAUUGAAAUCGCUGUGAAGAUGCAGUGUAUCCGCGGCUAGACGGAAAGACCCCGUGAACCUUUACUGUAGCUUUGCACUGGACUUUGAGCCUGCUUGUGUAGGAUAGGUGGGAGGCUUUGAAGCGUGGACGCCAGUUCGCGUGGAGCCAUCCUUGAAAUACCACCCUGGCAUGCUUGAGGUUCUAACUCUGGUCCGUAAUCCGGAUCGAGGACAGUGUAUGGUGGGCAGUUUGACUGGGGCGGUCUCCUCCUAAAGAGUAACGGAGGAGUACGAAGGUGCGCUCAGACCGGUCGGAAAUCGGUCGUAGAGUAUAAAGGCAAAAGCGCGCUUGACUGCGAGACAGACACGUCGAGCAGGUACGAAAGUAGGUCUUAGUGAUCCGGUGGUUCUGUAUGGAAGGGCCAUCGCUCAACGGAUAAAAGGUACUCCGGGGAUAACAGGCUGAUACCGCCCAAGAGUUCAUAUCGACGGCGGUGUUUGGCACCUCGAUGUCGGCUCAUCACAUCCUGGGGCUGAAGCCGGUCCCAAGGGUAUGGCUGUUCGCCAUUUAAAGUGGUACGCGAGCUGGGUUUAGAACGUCGUGAGACAGUUCGGUCCCUAUCUGCCGUGGACGUUUGAGAUUUGAGAGGGGCUGCUCCUAGUACGAGAGGACCGGAGUGGACGAACCUCUGGUGUUCCGGUUGUCACGCCAGUGGCAUUGCCGGGUAGCUAUGUUCGGAAAAGAUAACCGCUGAAAGCAUCUAAGCGGGAAACUUGCCUCAAGAUGAGAUCUCACUGGGAACUUGAUUCCCCUGAAGGGCCGUCGAAGACUACGACGUUGAUAGGCUGGGUGUGUAAGCGUUGU
rnacentral:rRNA from 1 species